GCCUGAUGGAGCAAUCCGCGUGGAGGAUGAAGGUUCGUGGAUCGUAAACUCCUUUUCUCAGAGAAGAAGAUCUGACGGUAUCUGAGGAAUAAGCUCCGGCUAACUCCGUGCCAGCAGCCGCGGUAAUACGGGGGGAGCAAGCGUUAUCCGGAAUGAUUGGGCGUAAAGCGUCUGUAGGUGGUUUUUUAAGUCUACUGUCAAAUACGUUGGCUCAACCAACGGCAGGCAGUGGAGUACUAAAGAACUAGAGUGCGGUAGAGGUAGAGGGAAUCCCUAGCGUAACAGUGAAAUGUGUAGAUUUUAGGGAGAACACCAGCGGCGAAGGCGCUCUACUGGGCCGAUACUGACACUGAGAGACGAAAGCUAGAGUAGCGAAUAGGAUUAGAUACCCUAGUAGUUCUAGCUGUAAACGAUGGAAACUAAGAGGAGGUAACCCUCUUCUGUAGCUAACGCGUUAAGUUUCCCGCCUGGGGAGUAUGCUCGCAAGAGUGAAACUCAAAGGAAUUGACGGGAGACCACACAAUAGGUGGAUUAUGCGGUUUAAUUUGAUGCAACGCAAAGAACCUUACCAGGGUUUGACAUGUAUAGAAUUUUUCAGAAAUGGAAAAGUGCUUCCUUUCUAUGAAAGGAAGAACUAUAACACAGGUGGUGCAUGGCUGUCGUCAGCUCGUGCGUUGACGUGUAUGGUUAAGUCCUGCACGAGCGCAACCCUCGUCUUUAGUUA
rnacentral:rRNA from 1 species